CUACGGGAGGCUGCAGUGGGGAAUAUUGCACAAUGGGGGAAACCCUGAUGCAGCAACGCCGCGUGAGUGAUGACGGCCUUCGGGUUGUAAAGCUCUGUCUUCAGGGACGAUAAUGACGGUACCUGAGGAGGAAGCCACGGCUAACUACGUGCCAGCAGCCGCGGUAAUACGUAGGUGGCAAGCGUUGUCCGGAUUUACUGGGCGUAAAGGGAGCGUAGGCGGACUUUUAAGUGAGAUGUGAAAUACCCGGGCUUAACCUGGGUGCUGCAUUUCAAACUGGAAGUCUAGAGUGCAGGAGAGGAGAAUGGAAUUCCUAGUGUAGCGGUGAAAUGCGUAGAGAUUAGGAAGAACACCAGUGGCGAAGGCGAUUCUCUGGACUGUAACUGACGCUGAGGCUCGAAAGCGUGGGGAGCAAACAGGAUUAGAUACCCCGGUAGUC
rnacentral:rRNA from 1 species